CAUUGUUGCUUCCGCCACGCCGCCGGACCAGUCGUCGGAGACCACCGUUGUCCCUCACCGCAGCUUCAAACGCCGGUAACUCCUCCAUCUCUUGCUUCAUUGUUCUUGCUUCUCCUUCGUUCUUAUUCUUAUCCUCUUGGUUGUUUUUGUUGCUCUCUGCCGCCACCACCACUGCGCAACUGGUUGCGCCGCACCAUCACAGCCACCGUGCACUGUUGCUGCACCGCCCAACUCGCCAACCAACGUUUUCCAUCAUCCUCUUUCUUGUUUCUUCAUUUUCACGACAGCAGCCAAGCACGACUAAGUGCGACCACCGUAGUCACCACCACCAGGCUCCAGCCGCGUCGCCCGUUCCCCGCGACCACCGCCCUGUGCCGCGCCGCCUGUGCUCCGCCGGCCAGCCUCCUCUCUCCUCUUUAAUUCUUGGUGGAGAAUUCUCCGUAGGCGACUUUUGAAUUAUUAAAGUGGUCUUGCAGUUUGUUUACACAAGUCUCUAAGGAUCAAUAAGCAUUGUCCAUCUACAGGUUUGAAGAUGUUGCAUCAUUGGGAUCGGGAAUAGAGAGCUUGUAUUUAGUUUUGAUUUGCUAAGUUGACUUGGGUUUGCUUAAUUGGACUUUAAACUUGUCAUACUAUUUAUAUUUCCUUAUUUUCGUUGGUUGAUUUUUGGGACUAAACCUGUAAUCGAUUAUUUAUAAACCUAAAGUUAGUUUUAUGUU